rnacentral:rRNA from 1 species
UACGUAGGGUGCAAGCGUUAAUCGGAAUUACUGGGCGUAAAGCGUGCGCAGGCGGUUCUAUAAGACAGAUGUGAAAUCCCCGGGCUCAACCUGGGAACUGCAUUUGUGACUGUAGAGCUGGAGUACGGCAGAGGAGACUGGAAUUCCUGGUGUAGCAGUGAAAUGCGUAGAUAUCAGGAGGAAUACCGAUGGCGAAGGCAGGUCUCUGGGCUGACACUGACGCUCAUGCACGAAAGCGUGGGGAGCAAACGAGG